rnacentral:tRNA from 1 species
AAGAGGUAGGCGGCGUCGAGGCGCUGGGCGCCGUGUGGUGGCAGUCGGCGGCGACGUGGGGGUGUGGGUCCGGCUGUGCGGCGUUGGUGGUAUAGUGGUGAGCAUAGCUGCCUUCCAAGCAGUUGACCCGGGUUCGAUUCCCGGCCAACGCA